rnacentral:lncRNA from 1 species
CUGCAGUCUGGGCAACAAGAGUGAAACUCCAUCUCAAAAAAAAAAAAGACCUUAGCUUUUCCUCUGAGAGCAGAAACUUUGGAGGGGCUUGAGUCAAGCAAUGGCGUGAUCUGCUUCGUAUCUUAACAGAGUCACCUUGGCUGCUCGGUCAGGGCAGGGGGACAAGUGUGGAGGCAGCAAAGUCAAUUUGGACGCUGUGGCCAACAACCAUAAGCACGGCUGAGGUCACCUAGGGAGUGCUUGUGGAUGAACAGGGAAGAGGCCCAAGACUGGACGUGGAGGUCUCCAAUGUUUAGAGUCAGGGAAAUGAAGGACACCAACAAAACUCACCUAAGAGAGGAGCAGUCGAAGAAGGAGGGGAACUGCUGAGCAUGGGCUCUGGAAGCCACAGCUCCAGGAAGAGGAAGUGAACAGCUCUGUCAAACGCUGCUGCUGGGUGGAGCUCCCUGAAGACAGAGAGUGAACCCUUGGUUUUCGCCAUGUAGAGGUCUGCUGUGCUGAGACUCAUGGCAAACCCCAGGAGCCACCUAUGAUGUGCCAGACACAUAAGCCCCUCCCUCACAGGCGUGGGUGCAGCCGGGGCCGACCGCAUUCCAAGGAGCAUUUCCUCUGAAAGCCAGGCCAAGUGCCCGCUCUCCAGCGUGAGUCAAGCAGUGCCAUGCCUCCCACACCCCUUGCAUCACAUCUCUGGGAAUGCACAGACCUUGCUGUUACGCUCUCUCUUCCCACCCUUUAUGGGUGUUUUCUUUAAGUGGCAGAAGGAAGUGGGCAUGGGUUGGGAGAGGACCAUGAAUUCUAGUUUCUGCCAUACUGCAGGUGGAUUUGGGGAAGAAGAGAGUCUCCUUUCUGGCCCACACCACAGGGACAUUCAGAAGCAGUUGUUAAAGGGGGAGCAGCAUUGGCUGGGCCCAGGGAAGGACAAGUAGAUGACUGUAUAAAGCCAGGCAUGAGAGCAGUUGGAAUAAGUUGUUUCACUCAUAAAUUUAUGGUGAGCCUUGUCCAUAUUGUUAAUGGCAUAUUCUUGUGAAGCAGACCUACAUACUUCUGAAAAGCACGGCCUUGUUCCCUGCUCAGCUAACUCUGUCUGAUCUCCUGACAUAUAUAUGUGGCAAUUUGGAAUUCUAAGCAGAGUUCAAAAUUCUAGGCCAAGAUUGGGAUUUGGAGGAGAAAAGGGGCCAGUUCCAGAGCAAGGGGAAGAAUAAAAUCUCUCCACUGUGGACACUGAAAUGAGACUGAUAAUGACCUAUUUAUUAUCCAUCUAGGGCAGACCCCACAGGCAGGGGUCAUGCAUGGGGGAGUUCAAAACCUAGUUCAUCAGGUUCUUUCCUCCAGGAUUUUGGUCUAGGCAACAUCAGAUGAAAACGAACACUAAGGGCAAUCCUGAAGAACCAAAAGAAACUGGCAAUGGACAGGGGUGAAUUGCAUCCUGUACUGUUUACAGCCUUAUCUCCAACUUUUGCAGAGUCAAGAAUUUAAAAGCAGCAGGGCUUGGUGGCCCAUGCCUGUAAUCCCAAUAUUUUGGGAGGCCGCAGCGGGAGGAUCACUUGAGGCCAGGAGUUCCAGACCUCCCUGGGCAACAUGAUGAGACCACAUCUCUACAGAAAAAUUAGCUGGGCAUGCUGGCAUGUGCCUGUAGUCCCAGCUCCUCAAGAGGCUGAGGUGGGAGGAUCACUUGAGCCCAGGAGGUCAAGGCUGCAGUGAGCUAUGAUCACACCAAUGCACUCUAGCCUGGGGACACAGUGAGACCCUGUCUCAAAAAAAAAAAAAAGAGGAAUUUAAAAGCAUUUACUACUAUCUAGUGUACUAUAUACUUAUUAUUAGUUUAUUUUUGGUCUCCCUCACCAGAAUGUAGGCUCCUUAAAGGCAGUAGUAUUGCACAUAAUAGGGACUAAUAUACCUUUAUUGAAUUAAUUAAUGAGGGCCAAGAUAUCUCAUGUAUUGGGUAUCUACUAUGUGCCAAGCCUUUUACUAGGUGCUUUACACACACAUUUAUAUUGUGCCACUUAAAACUUAUAGUAACUCUAAAAGAUGAUGGCUGGGUGCACUGGCCCACACCUGUAAUCCCAGCAAGUUGGGAGCCCAAGGUGGGAGGAUGGCUUGAGGCCAGGAGUUUGACACCAGCAGGGAGAACAUAGCAAGACCUCAUCUCUACAAAAUUAAAAAAAAAAAUACAAAAAUUAGCCGAGUGUGGUGGUGCACACCUGUAGUCCCAGGUACUUGGGAGGUUGAGGUGGGAGGAUCACUUGAGCCCAGGAGGUUGAGGCUGCAGUGAGCUAUGAUUGUACCACUGCGCUCCAGCUCAGAUAACAGAGCCAGACCCUAUCUCUAAAAUUUAAAUAAAUAAAUAAAUAAAUAAAUAAAUAAAUAAAUAAAUAAUGUCUAUUAUCCCCAUUUUGAAAAAAAAAAAAAAUCUGAGAGAAGGCCAGACACCAUGGCUCAAACCUGUAGACAGAGACGGGCAGAAGGCUUGGUCAAGAGUUCGAGACCAGCCUGGCUAACAUGGUGAAAACCCCUGCCUCUACUAAAAAUACAAAAAUUAGCCAAGUAUGAUGGUGGCGCCUGCUAUCCCAGCUACUUGGGAGGCUGAGGCAGAAUUGCUUGAACCCGGGAGGCAGAGGUUGCAGUGAGCUGAGAUCACACCACUGCACUCCAGCCUGGGUGACAGAGCGAGUAUCCAUCUCAAAAAAAAAAAAAAAAAAAAGCCUGAGAGAGAAAUCAAGCAAUAUGCCCCAAAUUACACUACUAGCAAAUAACAAAAUCAAAAUUCAAUCCCAAGUCUCAAUUUUCUUUUCAAAUUCUUCACUUACUAUAUCCGUUUCCUGUUGCUGCUGUAGCACGUUACUGUGCACUUUCUCACGGUGCAGGAGAUGAGAAGUCUGAAAUCAAGGAGUCAGCAAGGCCACAGUCCCUCCAGAGGCUCCAGGAGAGAAUCCAUUCCUUGCCUCUUCUGGCUGUCAAAAUUCUGUGGCUUGGAGCCGCAUGGCUCCAAUGUCUGCCUCCAAGGUCACACGGCUUCCUCCUCUUCUGUCUGUGUGAAGUCUCCCUCUGCCUCUGUCUUAUAAAGACACUUGUGAUUGCAUUUAGGAUACCCCUAGAGAAUCCAGGAUAAUUGCCUCAUCCCAAGAUCCUUAACUUUACAUCUGUAAAGUCUUUUUUUUUUUUUUUUUUUUGCCAUAUAAGGUAACACUCACAGGUCCAGGGUUAAGAUGUGGAUAUCUUUUGGAGAGCCUAACACACACAUCUUAAAAAGAGAAUUUGUGCUCAGGUCCCCAGGGCCAAGACAAGGCGUGCUCUCCAGCACAGUCAUGCCAAUUACAACACUCAGGCAAAGCCCAAGGGGUGCUGGGGUCCUUUACAAGAUGCAGUCACUUUUGUCUGGAUCUGGACCUUAUAACCUGAGCCUAGUGCAGCAGAGGGGGUUGGAGGAGUGAGGACUGGAUGGGCCAGAUGCCAGGAAGGUAAAAAGAUAAAUGCUGAUUUGUCAGAUAUGAGUGCUUGGUGACUGUAGGGUUCCUGAAAACAGAAGGAAGAGAGAGGAAGGAAAUAUGUUUCAUGAAUAUAAAAAGAAUUUAAGUAUUCACUUUAACCAAGUGAUCAGGCUUAGUGUCACCAAUAUGAAAAAAAAAAGGUGACAUUGUUCACUUCUGGUGUGAUUCAAUAAGAUACUCAACAUCACCUGUUCAACACUCUUAACAAAGCUAAAAAGUAAAUAAAUAAAUAAAGGUUAAAUCACUUGGAAACCAUCAGACAAAUCCAGAAUGUGGGACAUUUUAUGAAACAACUGUCUUGGAUGCUUCAAAAUAUUUCAGUACCAUGAAAAAAAUCUGAGGAGAUUGUUCUAAAUUAAAAGGCACUAAAGACACAUAGACCAAAGUAGCACUUGAACCUUAAUUGGAUCCUGGGUGGUGGUGGUGGUGGUUGUUGUUGUUGUUUUUCAUUUUUUUAUUAUUAUACUUUAAGUUUUAGGGUACAUGUGCACAACCUGCAGGUUUGUUACAUAUGUAUACAUGUGCCAUGCUGGUGUGCUGCACCCAUUAACUCGUCAUUUAGCAUUAGGUAUAUCUCCUAAUGCUAUCCCUCCCCCCUCCCCCCACCCCACAACAGUCCCUGGUGUGGUGUGUGAUGUUCCCCUUCCUGUGUCCAUGUGUUCUCAUUGUUCAAUUCCCACCUAUGAGUGAGAACAUGCGGUGUUUGGUUUUUUUGUCCUUGCGAUAGUUUGCUGAGAAUGAUGGUUUCCAGCUUCAUCCAUGUCCCUACAAAGGACAUGAACUCAUCAUUUUUUAUGGCUGCAUAGUAUUCCAUGGUGUAUAUGUGCCACAUUUUCUUGAUCCAGUCUAUCAUUGCUGGCUGGACAUUUAGGUUGGUUCCAAGUCUUUGCUAUUGUGAAUAGUGCCGCAAUAAACAUACGUGUGCAUGUGUCUUUAUAGCAGCACGAUUUAUAAUCCUCUGGGUACAUACCCAGUAAUGGGAUGGCUGGGUCAAAUGGUAUUUCUAGUUCUAGAUCCCUGAGGAACCGCCACACUGACUUCCACAAUGGUUUUAAAAAAACAAAAAAAACAGCUAUUAAGGGCAUUCUGGGAACAAUUAGGAAAAUAUAAAUAGGAACUAUUUUAUCAUAGGAUAUUGAAUUAACAUUAAUUUUCUUUUUUUAAAAUACAUGUUAGCAGCAGAUUUGUAUUAGAUGGAGGAUAACAAGGGUUAGGUAAGCAGUAACAAAUGGCAAGUACAGCCAUGCUACAGAGGAGUGAAGGCAUUACUGGGUAUGGGAAUGGGCACUUAUGAAAUCUAAGGGUCAGGUCUCCUGACGAACUCUGACCACCCAGUAAGCUCUUCUCCUUGGCACGCAAUAUGACCAGUGCUGGCAUGAAAGCGUCUACAGUAGCUAGUUCAACUUGGCCAACCGUUCUUCCAGUUCUGGUCGAGCUUUGAAUCUUCCCUU